rnacentral:rRNA from 1 species
CCCGCACAAGCGGUGGAGCAUGUGGUUUAAUUCGAUGCAACGCGAAGAACCUUACCUACUCUUGACAUCCAGAGAAUUCGCUAGAGAUAGCUUAGUGCCUUCGGGAACUCUGAGACAGGUGCUGCAUGGCUGUCGUCAGCUCGUGUUGUGAAAUGUUGGGUUAAGUCCCGCAACGAGCGCAACCCUUAUCCUUUGUUGCCAGCGCGUAAUGGCGGGAACUCAAAGGAGACUGCCGGUGAUAAACCGGAGGAAGGUGGGGAUGACGUCAAGUCAUCAUGGCCCUUACGAGUAGGGCUACACACGUGCUACAAUGGCGUAUACAAAGAGAAGCGAACUCGCGAGAGCCAGCGGACCUCAUAAAGUACGUCGUAGUCCGGAUCGGAGUCUGCAACUCGACUCCGUGAAGUCGGAAUCGCUAGUAAUCGUAGAUCAGAAUGCUACGGUGAAUACGUUCCCGGGCCUUGUACACACCGCCCGUCACACCAUGGGAGUGGGUUGCAAAAGAAGUAGGUAGCUUAACCUUCGGGAGGGCGC